GCUGCUCCGGACCGCACCUCCUGCAGGAGAAGACUCAGAGUCCCGAGGAGGAGAUCUGCUGAGGGGACUCGCACGCGCGCAGACAGUUUUUUGGUGACUUUUCUAUUAGUGGCUUUUCUUUUUUUCGUCUUCUUGGCACUCCUUCAAACUUAAAAUAAAAAGGAAAAUUCCUCCCCGGAGGCUUUCAUGGUUUGCCAUGAAAUAUGGAGGCGGAGUUUCCCUCUGAAGCUCAGUCAGUGCAGCCGGCAGCAGAUAAACCAGGGGGCCACACUUUAUUCAUAGAGAGAGAGAGAGAGGGAGAGAGGGAGAGAGAGAGAGAGAGAGGGAGGUUGACCAUGUGCAGUGUUUACAUUCACUAAAGGCUCCUAUUCUGUCCCCAGUUUGGUGAUCAGUUCAUCGCAGAUCUUCGUGAGCUCCUCGAUCUCUUGAUUCUGUGAGAGAGAGAGAGAGAGAGAGAGAAAGAGAGAGAGGGGGGGGGAGAGAUAGAGGAGCCCAUGUUCCACCGAUCCUUCUCCUCACCCAAACUUCUCAGAACAUCUCCUUCUUCUGUUGUUGCGUAGAGGUCCUGGAGGGGCGCGCGAUGGAGCUAACCCAGACAUGGGCAAACUACGGCCCGCGGGCCACAUCCGGCCCGUUAGGCUUUUUAAUCCGGCCCGCCGAACUUGUCCAAAUCGCGACUUUGUUUACUUCCGGUGUGCGUUGGCGCGGAAAGUACUCGUCACACAAAACCCUUCACCAUGAUUUGUCAAUCCGUUUGUCUGUCAAACAACAACCAAUGAACACUCAGUAAAUCACAAGGGACCCGCCCACCACACAGGUGAGGCUCAUUUAGAAACAGCCGCAGUGAUUUUGCCGAGCAGCGCGGAGCCUGGAGGAGCUGCGGAGCGACGAGGAGGAACACGCAGCCAGAAGAGAGCCACUUGGACCGGAGAGGAUUCACCAGUGCCUGCAGCUCCACCUGCAGCUCCACCUGCCCGGCCAGCAGAGAGGUCUCGUGACACGAUGACAUGAUGUUAUUAUAGUGAAGCCAUAUUGUAAAUAGUCUGUCAAUAGUUGUGUUCUGUUUUCUAUUUCACAACAUGUAUAUAAUGUAGAUUUUUUUUUUUUAUGUACAACACAUAUUUAUUUUUAACAAAAAUUAAUGGUCAUUUUUGAUUUGCACACACCCCAUGAAACUUUAUCUGCAAUAUGAAGUCAUUUCUCAGUCCCAUCUUUAUCAUUUUGGUGAAUGUGUGACAGACCACAUCAU